GAUCAGGUAGGGAUACCCGCUGAACUUAA
rnacentral:rRNA from 2 species